GAUUCAGCCUUCCGUCUCACGGCGAGUGGCUGACUCCCAGGGGCGCGUCGACGGUGGCGCCGUGCUUGGGUUACCGAGCUGACGUGGCUUCGAUUGGGCGGGGGGCGUCCGGAGUUGGCUGGGACGGCCGCCUGCAGCAUGUUUGUACACCAAGUGCAUGCAGUGCCCGAAGAGGUCAGAAGAGGGCAUCAGAUCCCCUAGGCCUGGAGCUACAGACAGUUGUGAGCAUCCACAUGGUUUCUGAGAAGUGAAUUCUGGGCCCUCUGGAAGAGCGACUGGCGUUCUUAACCUCUGACCAACUCUGAAGACCCCACUCAGAGAUGCUGAGCCGAUUAUCGGGGUUAGCAAAUAAUGUUUUGCAUGAAUUAUCAGGAGAUUACACUGACUGGAAUUUGAUGGCUUCCUCAGACGCUGACUCAUCCCAGGAAACUGCCAUGGAAUCGAAUAAUAGAAUAAUGGAAUCCACGCAAGAGGAUGCUCUGCACCGCCUGGCUGAGGCAGAGAAGUUAGUGGUGGAGCUGAAGGAUAUUAUUAGUCAGAAGGAUGUUCAACUCCAGCAGAAGGACGAAGCUCUGCAGGAGGAAAAAAAAGCUGCUGAAAACAAAAUUAAAAAAAUAAAACUCCAUGCAAAGGCCAAGAUCAUGUCCUUGAACAAACACAUGGAAGAAAUAAAGACACAAGGAGGGGCUGCUCUGCCUCCAGAAGCCCAGGCAGAGGAGCUCUCCAAGCAUAAUAAGAGUUCAACAGAAGAAGAGAUGGAAAUAGAAAAAAUAAAACAUGAACUCCAGGAAAAGGAGAAAUUAAUUAGUAGUUUGCAAGCCCAGCUUGACCAAUCAGAACAAGCCUCGCAGUUGGAUAAGAGUUCUGCAGAGAUGGAAGACUUUGUCCUGAUGAAGCAGCAGCUCCAAGAAAAGGAAGAACUCAUCAGCACUUUGCAAACACAGCUCAGCCAGACACAGGCAGAGCAAGCUGCCCAGUUGAGUUCCAUGCAGCAGGUGGUCCGAGAGAAAGACGCCCGCUUUGAAACACAGGUUCGUCUCCAUGAAGAUGAGCUCCUUCAGUUAGUAACCCAGUCAGAUGUGGAAACAGAGAUGCAACAGAAAUUGAGGGUGAUGCAGAGGAAGCUGGAGGAGCACGAAGAAGCCUUGCUGGGCCGUGCCCAGGUUGUAGACCUGCUGCAGAAGGAGCUAACGUCUGCAGAGCAGAGAAACCAGGUUCUUUCACAGCAGCUACAGCUGUUGGAGGCUGAACAUAAUACUUUAAAGAAUACCAUGGAAACAGAAAGACAGGAGUCCAAGACCCUGAUGGAAAAGGUAGAACUCGAAGUGGCAGAGAGAAAGUUAUCCUUCCAUAACCUUCAAGAAGAGAUGCAUCAGCUUCAGGGACAGCUGGAGCGAGCAGGCCAAGCCCAGGCUGACCUGGAGACACAGUACAGUGCUCUCCAGCAAAGACAUAAGACAGAGAUGGAGGAGAAGACGGCUUGCAUUUUGAGUCUUCAGAAGAACGAGCAAGAGCUGCAGUCUGCCUGUGCUGCUCUGAAGGAGGAGAACUCGAAGCUGCUUCAGGAGAAGCACGACCAGGCUGCUGAGUCAGCCCAGGCCAUGCGGCAGCUGGAAGAUCAACUCCAGCAAAAAUCUAAAGAAAUUAGCCAAUUUGUAAAUAAGCCAAACUUGCAAAAAAAUGAAACAGCAUCUCAGACUUCUUUACCAGAUGUUAAUAAUGAGGGCGACCAGGCAGUGAUGGAGGAGACUGUGGCCUCUUUACAGAAGAGAGUGGUAGAGCUAGAGAACGAGAAGGGAGCCUUGCUCCUUAGCUCUGGAGAGCUGGAGGAGCUGAAAGCCGAGAACGAAAAACUCUCCUCUCGGAUUACUCUUUUGGAAGCUCAGAAUAGAGCAGGGGAGGCUGAUGGUACGGUCUGUGAGGUCAGCACGGCUGGUACUACUCUGCUCAACAGGAGUGACUCUUCUCCUGAAGAAAAUGGGCAGGCUGUUCUAGAGAACACAUUUUCUCAGAAACAUAAAGAGCUAUCAGUUUUAUUAGUGGAAAUGAAAGAAGCCCAGGAGGAAAUUGCAUUUCUCAAGUCACAGCUGCAGGGCAAGAGGCCCGAGGGGGACUAUGAGGUCCUCGACCGUAGAGAAGUGCAGCUGAUGGAGAGUGAAGGACCGCCCUCAGUUACAGCAGGAGAUGUCCUCUGUGCACCCAGUGAUGAGAGCAGCGGCCCAGCAGCUGAAGAGGAACAGGCAGGCAUGAAAGAUCGGCAUCGAGCAUCUGAGGCAGGACCUCUAAAUGAUGCUGGAAUGGAACUGAGCUCCCCGAAGCUGGAUGGCGUGGACAAAUCCCUCGCAGUGUCCCAUGUCUGUCAGUGUCACCAGGGCGAACUGGAAAGGCUGAAAACUCAAGUUUUGGAGCUUGAGACAAGCCUUCAUACAGCAGAGGAAACUUACAAGAGAAACUUAAGUGAGAAAGUGAAGGAAAUUAGCAGCCUAACCCAGCUUAGCGAAGAGGUCAAAGAGAGCGCCGAGGAAGCCCGCAGCACGCUCGCCGCAGUGACGGAAGAAAGAGACCAGCUGCUUUACCAGGUGAAGGAGCUUGAUGUCUUAGCAGAACUGCGGGCUCGGGUCCAAGAACUGGAAAGCAGCCUUGCAGAAGCAGAAAAGCAAAGAGGUCUGGACUAUGAAAGCCAGAGGGCUCAGCACAACCUGCUCACGGAGCAGAUCCAUAGCCUAAGCAUAGAAGCCAAAUCUAAAGAUGUGAAAAUCGAGGCUUUACAGAGAGAGCUGGAUGGUGUGCAGCUGCAGUUUUGUGAACAGGGAACCCAGAUGAAAACCCUUCAGAGCCAGCUAGAGGCAAAGGAGAGGGAAGUGCGAGAGGGGACAGAGCGUCUGAGGGACAUCUCACAGGAGAUGGAAGGACUGUCGCAGGCUCUUUCUCAGAAAGAACUGGAGAUAGCCAAGAUGGACCAACUCUUGUUAGAGAAACAGAAAGAUGUGGAGACACUCCAGCAAACCAUCCAGGAGAAGGAUCAGCAAGUGACAGAACUCAGCUUCAGUAUGACGGAGAAAAUGGUUCAGCUUAACGAAGAGAAAUUUUCUCUUGGGGUGGAAAUUAAGACUCUGAAGGAGCAGCUCAAUUUAUUGUCCAGAACUGAAGAAGCAACAAAAGAGCAGGUAGAAGAGAGUGGAGCUGGGUCCAGCCUUAAACUUGGUCACGAUGAGUCAGGUCAAGAGGGGCUUCAGCAGGAGCUGGAGUUGCUGCGGAAAGAAAGUGAGCAGAGAAAGCGGAAACUGCAGGCAGCGCUGAUCAACAGAAAGGAGCUACUGCAGAAAGUCAGCCAGCUGGAGGAGGAGCUAGCCAAGGUGAGAGAGGACUCUCGGAAAGAGAUUCCCUUCGGGGAGAAUGAGAGGAGAAAGCUGGAGGAAGACAGAGAGAACAGAGAUGACCCAGAAGAAUGGGGGACUUCUAAGUGGCGAGAAGUAGAAGCUUCCUUAAAACAGACAAUAUCUGAAAAAGAAGUGGAGCUGGAGGGCAUACGGAGGGAUUUAAAAGAAAAGACAGCGGCAGAGGAAGAGUUACAGGCUGUGGUCCAGCGGAUGACUCGGGACCUGCAGAGUAAGACAAAGCAGAUAGAUUUGCUUCAAGAAGAAGUCACUGAAAACCAAGCAACUAUUCAGAAAUUAGUCACAGGAACCAUGGAUGCCGGGAAUGGAGGCUCAGCAGCACCUGUAAAAGAAACAGCGGCGAGCAGCCCACCCGGUGCAGGUGGUGAGGAGCACUGGAAGCCAGAGCUGGAGGGAAGAAUACUAGACCUUGAAAAAGACAAGACACAACUUCAAAAGAAGCUUCAAGAAGCCUUAAUUGCCCGCAAGGCGAUUCUGAAAAAGGCACAAGAGAAAGAGAAACAGCUAAAGGAAGAGCUCAGGGAGCAGAAGGACGCGUACCAUCACCUACAGGGACAGUUCCAUGAGCAGAAUAAGGAGAAGGAGAACAUUGCGGACCAGCUAAGGCAACUCCAGUGCCAAGCAAGGGAGUCCAUAGACAGACAGCUCCCAGGCACUGGCCAGCAGGAACCUGGUCCUCCCGCUCCAAGUUUAGAAGGCAUUUCCCUAGAAGACACAGAGCCUGCUUCAGAAUCUGACUUACACGCAGCUCAGCCUUCUCCUCCCGGAGAGACAGCAGCUCUCCAGGCUACUGUUUCUGUUGCCCAGAUUCAGGCUCAGUUGAAAGAAAUGGAGGUUGAGAAGGAAGAGCUGGAAUUGAAAGUUAGUUCUAUAGCAAGUGAGCUGGCCAAAAAGUCAGAAGAAGUACUUCUCUUACAAGACCAGAUAAAUGAACAGGGUUUAGAAAUCCAGAAUUUGAAGGCAGCAUCCGUUGAAGCCCAGGCCCACACAGAACUGCUGAAGCAGGAGUUGGAAAGCAGCCAGUUGAAAGUUGCUGGCCUGGAACAUCUGAAAACGUUACAGCCUGAACUCGAUGCACUGCACAAGCACAUGGGCCAGAAGGAAGAAGAGGUCAACUACCUUUAUGGACAGCUUAGUGAGAAAGAGCAGACCCUCACCACGGUCCAGACAGAAAUGGUGGAGCAGGAGCGUUUAAUCAAGGCUCUGCACACCCAGCUGGAAAUGCAAGCCAAGGAGCAUGAAGAGAGGCUAAAGCAGGCCCAGGUGGAAAUUUGUGAGCUGAAGAAGAAGCCAACAGAGCUUGAGGAAGAAACUAAUGCAAAGCAACAGUUACAGAGGAAAUUGCAGGCUGCGCUCAUCUCCCGGAAGGAGGCACUCAAAGAAAACAAGAGCCUGCAAGAGCAGUUGUCCUCAGCCAGAGAUGCUGUUGAACGCCUGACCAAGUCUCUGGCAGAUGUAGAAAGCCAGGUUUCUGUCCAGAAUCAAGAGAAAGAUGCAGUCCUAGGAAAGUUAACCAUUCUUCAGGAAGAAAGAGACAAGCUCAUUGCAGAAAUGGACAGGUUUUUACUGGAAAACCAGAGCCUCAGUGGCUCUUGCGAAAGCCUGAAACUAGCUCUGGGGGGCCUCACGGAAGACAAGGAAAAGCUGAUGGAGGAGCUGGAAUCCGUGAGAAGUUCUAAGAUGGCAGAGAGCACCGAAUGGCAAGAGAAACACAAGGAGCUGCAGAAGGAGUACGAGGUUCUUCUGCAGUCGUACGAGAACGUGAGCAACGAAGCCGAGAGGAUUCAGCACGUGGUGGAAAGUGUGCGGCAAGAGAAGCAAGAGCUGUACGCAAAGUUAAGGAGCACAGAGUCGGACAAGAGAGAGAGAGAGAAGCAGCUGCAGGAUGCAGAGCAGGAAAUGGAAGAGAUGAAAGAGAAGAUGCGAAAGUUUGCAAAAUCUAAGCAACAGAAGAUCCUUGAGCUAGAGGAAGAAAAUGACCGGCUUAGAGCGGAGGCGCAGCCUGUAGGAGGAACCGGUGAGAGCAUGGAAGCACUUCUUUCUUCCAACUCCAGCUUGAAGGAGGAACUAGAAAAGAUCACAUUGGAGCAUAAAACCCUUUCUAAGGAGUUUGAGGCUUUAAUGGCGGAGAAGGACGCUCUGAGUGAAGAGACUCGAAAUCUAAAGCUUCAGGUAGAAGCCCAAGUACUGAAACAAGCUAGCCUGGAGGCCACUGAGAAAUCUGAUGAGCCAAAGGAUGUCAUUGAAGAGGUAACACAAGCUGUGGUGGGCAAGUCUCAAGAACGAGAUGCUCUGAGUGACAGUGCCAAGCUUGAAGAUUCGGAAGCUAUUCUGAUGGGCGACGGCGCCAAGCCGGGUGUUAGUGAGACUUUCAGCUCCCACGAUGACAUCAAGAACUACCUCCAGCAGCUCGAUCAGCUUAAAGGAAGAAUUGCUGAGUUAGAGAUGGAGAAACAGAAAGACAGGGAACUCAGCCAGGCUUUAGAAAAUGAGAAAAAUGCCCUACUGACUCAGAUCUCUGCAAAGGAUAGCGAGCUAAAGCUCCUGGAGGAAGAAGUCACCAAAAGAACCACGCUAAAUCAGCAGAUCCAAGAAGAACUCUGCAGAGUUACCAAGCUGAAGGAGACGGCAGAAGAGGAGAAAGACGAUUUAGAGGAGAGGCUGAUGAAUCAACUGGCAGAACUUAAUGGGAGCAUCGGGAAUUAUUACCAGGAUGUUACAGAUGCCCAAAUAAAAAACGAGCAACUAGAGUCGGAAAUGCGGAACCUUCAAAGAUGUGUGAGUGAAUUAGAGGAAGAAAAGCAGCAGCUGGUCAAGGAAAAAACCAAGGUGGAGUCAGAAAUCCGAAAAGAGUACAUGGAGAAGAUCCAAGGUGCCCAGAAAGGGCCGGCCAAUAAAAGCCAUGCGAAGGAGCUCCAGGAGCUGCUGCGGGAAAAGCAGCAAGAAGUGAAGCAACUGCAGAAGGACUGCAUCCGGUACCUCGAGAGGAUCAGCGCCCUGGAGAAGACCGUCAAGGCCCUCGAGUUCGUUCACACCGAGUCCCAGAAGGAUUUGGAUGUGACCAAAGGAAAUCUGGCCCAGGCAGUUGAACACCGCAAGAAGGCACAAGCUGAAUUAUCUAGCUUCAAGAUACUGCUCGAUGACACCCAAAGCGAAGCUGCGAGAGUGCUAGCGGACAACCUCAAAUUGAAAAAGGAGCUUCAGUCAAACAAAGAAUCCAUCAAAAGCCAGAUAAAACAAAAAGAUGAAGACCUCUUGCGAAGACUGGAGCAAGCAGAGGAGAAACACCGGAAAGAGAAGAAGAACAUGCAAGAGAAGCUGGAUGCCUUGCACAGAGAGAAGGCCCACGUGGAAGAAACGCUUGCAGAGAUUCAAGUCAGUCUGACCAGGAAAGACCAGGAGAUGAAGGAGCUGCAGGGAAGCCUGGAUAGCACCUUGGCCCAGCUUGCAGCCUUCACUAAGAGCAUGUCAUCCCUGCAGGAUGACCGGGACAGGGUGAUCGAUGAAGCUAAGAAAUGGGAGCGGAGGUUUGGCGAUGCCAUUCAAACCAAAGAGGAAGAGGUCAGACUCAAAGAGGAGAACUGCAUUGCUCUAAAGGAUCAGCUCCGACAGAUGGCCAUCCACAUGGAGGAAUUGAAGAUCACCGUCUCCAGGCUUGAACAUGACAAGGAAAUCUGGGAGUCCAAGGCCCAGACGGAGCUCCAGCAUCACCAGAAGGCUUAUGAUAAGCUGCAAGAGGAAAAUAAAGAACUUACGUCUCAGUUAGAAGACGCUCGCCAGCUGUAUCAUGAUUCUAAGAAUGAAUUAACUAAGUUAGAAUCAGAACUUAAGAGUCUCAAAGACCAGACAACUGACCUAAAUAACUCUUUAGAAAAAUGCAAAGAACACGAAAACAACUUGGAAGGGAUCAUAAAGCAGCAAGAAGCUGAUAUCCAAAAUUGUAAGUUCAGUUGUGAACAGCUAGAGACUGACCUAGCGGCCUCCAGAGAACUCACCAGUCGGCUGCACGACGAAAUCAAUGCGAAGGAACAGAAGAUCAUAAGCCUGCUUUCUGGCAAAGAAGAGGCGAUCCAACUAGCUGUUGAGGAACUGCACCAGCAACACAGUAAAGAGAUCAAAGAACUAGAAAACCUGUUGUCCCAGGAGGAAGAGGAGAAUGUGGCCUUAGAAGAGGAAAACAAAAGGGCCCUUGAGAAAACCAAUCAGCUCACAGAAGCAUUGGAAGCCAUCAAGAAGGAGAGCUUUGAGCAGAAGGCUCAGUUGGACUCCUUUGUGAAGUCUAUGUCCUCUCUCCAGGAUGACCGGGACCGCAUCGUAAGUGACUAUCGGCAGCUGGAAGAGCGACAUCUCUCUGCAAUCUUGGAAAAAGACCAGCUCAUCCAAGAUGCUGCUGCUGAGAAUAAUAAACUGAAGGAGGAGAUGCGAGGGUUGCGAAGUCACAUGGAUGAUCUCAAUUCUGAGAAUGCCAAGCUGGAUGCGGAGCUGGUCCAGUAUAGGCGGGACCUGAACGAGGUGAUAGCCAUAAAGGACUCUCAGCAAAAGCAGCUCCUUGAUGCUCAGCUACAGCAGAAUAAAGAGCUGAGAAAUGAGUGUACAAAGCUAGAGGAAAGGCUGAAAGGGUUAGAAGCAGAGAAGCAAAGCCUACAAAUGUCCUCCGAUGCCCUCCAGAAGGAGAAACAAGGUUUGUCUAAAGAGAUCAAAAACUUACAGACACAGUUGACCGCCCUGCAGGAAGAAGGAACGCUAGGUGUCUACCAUGCCCAACUGAAAGCAAAAGAAGAAGAGCUCCAGAGGCUAAAUAUGGCUCUCUCCUCCUCCCAGAAGAGAACUGCAGAUCUGGAAGAGGAGUUAGUUUGUGUACAGAAGGAAGCUACCAGGAAGGUAAGUGAAAUUGAAGAUCAGCUGAAGAAAGAGCUGAAGCACCUCCAUCACGACGCAGGGAUAAUGCGAAACGAGACAGAAACAGCCGAAGAGAGGGUGGCAGAGCUGGCGAGAGACCUGGUUGAGAUGGAACAGAAGUUGCUUACGGUAACCAAAGAGAAUAAGGAUCUUAUGGCGCAGAUUCAGGCCUUUGGAAGGUCAAUGAGCUCCUUGCAGGACAGCAGAGAUCAUGCCACUGAGGAGCUUGGUGACCUGAAAAAGAAGUAUGAUGCCAGUCUCAAGGAGCUGGCCCAGCUGAAAGAGUGGCAGGACUCAAGCAGAGAGGGGGACGUUCUUUCCCAGGCUGCCUUUCCCCUGUCCACCUCUGAGAACGUCUUGUCCCGCCUUGAGAAACUGAACCAGCAGCUCACAUCCAAAGACGAGCAGUUGCUUCACCUAUCUUCAGAACUAGAAAGUUCUCACAACCAAGUGCAGUCCAUCUCCAAAGCCAUGACCAGUCUACAGAAUGAGAGAGAUCGCCUAUGGAGUGAGCUGGAGAAAUUCCGGAAGUCUGAGGAAGGGAAGCAGAGGGCUGCAGCCCCUUCAGCUGCCUCCAGCCCAGCAGAAGUACAGAGCUUGAAAAAAGCCAUGUCUUCACUCCAGAAUGACAGAGAUCGAUUGAUGUACCUGGUGCUGUUAAUUCCUGAGCCCUUUGAAGAUUCUGCAGACUGAAGGAACUGAAGAAUCUGCAGCAGCAGUACUUACAGAUGAGCCAAGAGAUGACCGAGCUCCGUCCGCUGAAGGCUCAGCUCCAAGAAUCUCAAGAUCAGACAAAGGCACUACAGGUGAUGGAGGAGGAGCUCAGGCAGGAAAACCUCUCCUGGCAACACGAGCUGCGUCAGCUCAGGAUGGAGAAGAAUUCCUGGGAGCUGCAUGAGAGGAGGAUGAAGGAACAGUUCCUCAUGGCCAUCUCAGAUAAAGAUCAGCAGCUUGGUCAUCUGCAGAGUCUCCUGAGGGAGCUGAGGUCUUCUUCCCAGGCUCAGAUUCUCUCCACACAGUACCAGCGACAGGCAUCCCCAGAGACAUCAGCUUCCCUCGAUGGAUCACAAAAGCUAGUUUAUGAGACAGAACUUCUCAGGACUCAGCUCAAUGACAGUUUAAAGGAAAUUCAUCAAAAGGAGCUAAGAAUUCAGCAGCUAAACAGCAAGUUCUCUCAGCUGCUCGAGGAGAAGAACGUCCUCUCCACCCAGCUCAGUGACGCCAGCCAGAGUCUCCGUGAGAACCAGCACCACUACAGUAACCUCUUCAACCACUGCGCCAUCCUGGAGAAGGAGGUGCAGAAGCUGCAGGCGGGGCCGCUUAAUACAGAUGUUGCUCCUGGAGCACCCCAGGAAAAGAAUGGAAUGCACCGAAAGAGUGAACCUGAGACCACAGGAGAGGAGCAGCCAAGCUUCUCUGAAGUCCAGCAGCAGCUGUGCAACACUAAACAAGAUCUGAGAGAGUUAAAGAAGCUGCUGGAAGAAGAGCGAGACCAAAGGCUGACCGCUGAGAAUGCACUCUCCCUGGCCAAGGAGCAGAUCAGACGGUUGGAGCAUAGUGAAUGGGAAUCGGCCCGGACUCCUAUCAUGGGUGCCUGUGGCUCUCAGGAGCAGGCGCUGCUGAUAGAUCUCCCAGGCCAUAGCUGUCGAAGGACCCGGAGUGGUGCCGGAUGGAAGCGGGUCCUGCGUUCACUCUGCCAUUCUCGAACCCGAGUGCCACUGCUCGCAGCCAUCUACUUCCUAAUGAUUCACGUUUUACUGGUUCUGUGUUUCACGGGUCACCUAUAAACUUGUUACUUGACUGCAACUCUGGAACUUGUAAUUCCUUCAUCUCUAGUGUCAGGAUUGUCGAUUCCACAGCAGCCUUCUCACUUUAGCCCCUCCACCUCUUCUUGGAAAGUGCCUGUGAAAACAGAGGUGGCUGUGAGGACAGGCAGAGCCUUAAAGCCUGCCACAUCCGCUCUCCUUAAACACUUGUGCUUGGUCUGAGCAGCUUCCCAGAUGUGCUGUGCUCACUGCUCUUCAGAUGUUGCAGAUCCACAUCCUGUGUGGUCUUGUAGGAUGCUGAGGGAGGCCUCCCAGCCAGGCCAACAAGAUGGUUCCAAUAAACACAGUAAUUUGGAAUCCAGUAUCACUUUUCUUGGUAACCGGCUUUGUCUUGUGGCCUGUAUUUUCUCCUGCCUCAGGAUGAAUACAAAGUUGUGGGCGUGUGAGCAGUCUUUGGAGACUCAGGUGGGAGCUGGAAGGCUCCCAGACUUCAGUUGUUGGAUCUCGGGGAGGAAGGCAUUUUCUUCCUGCCUGUUGCAUUGCCAGCGGAGGGACGGUUUGUUGCUGUGGAUCGUCAGGACUGGACCCCAUUGCUUAUGCCUUCAGUCACAUGUAGACUAAGAUAGUAAGUGGCCAGUGCCUUUCCUUGCAUCAAAAGGCAGGAAGAACUGACAAUGGACAGACAGCAAGGUUCGAAUUCUAUAUUUCUGGAUGUGCCUCCAUAGGGGUCCUAAGACUAUCCAGAGGCCAGUGGGGCCAUGCCAAGGUGAACUGGAGUCAGGGCUGAAUACCACAUCACAACUAGUCUCAAGAACUACUGAGCUGCUGCACCAGUGUGCUGGUCCUUGGUUAUUCUGUCUCCAACGCCAUUGUCACCCACCACUGGGCACAGGGCUGAGGCGGUGGAAAGAAAAGGCAAAGCACCUGGAUCCAGACCUGAGAGCAGUGGCCAGGAAUGGAUGGAUCCCACCGUGUCGAUCCUCCCCUUUACGGACAUGAUGUGCUCCCUUCCUGUUCUCACCCCCUAAAGAAGAGUGAACUGCUGGACUCACUCAUCAGCCCUUUGUUCUGUGGUGAUGAAAAUUUUAGUCACAACAUCCCAAAACCUUAACUACUGUAAAAUAAUAAAAUUAUUUUCAGAAUAA